AGUGAACGCUGGCGGUAGGCCUAACACAUGCAAGUCGAGCGGCAGCACAGUAAGAGCUUGCUCUUACGGGUGGCGAGUGGCGGACGGGUGAGGAAUACAUCGGAAUCUACUUUUUCGUGGGGGAUAACGUAGGGAAACUUACGCUAAUACCGCAUACGACCUACGGGUGAAAGCAGGGGAUCUUCGGACCUUGCGCGAUUGAAUGAGCCGAUGUCGGAUUAGCUAGUUGGCGGGGUAAAGGCCCACCAAGGCGACGAUCCGUAGCUGGUCUGAGAGGAUGAUCAGCCACACUGGAACUGAGACACGGUCCAGACUCCUACGGGAGGCAGCAGUGGGGAAUAUUGGACAAUGGGCGUAAGCCUGAUCCAGCCAUACCGCGUGGGUGAAGAAGGCCUUCGGGUUGUAAAGCCCUUUUGUUGGGAAAGAAAAGCAGCAGGUUAAUACCCCGCUGUUCUGACGGUACCCAAAGAAUAAGCACCGGCUAACUUCGUG
rnacentral:rRNA from 1 species